ACGGCUCAGUAACACGUGGAUAACCUGCCCAAGGGUCUGGGAUAACCCCGGGAAACUGGGGAUAAUACCGGAUGGAUCACUAGUGCUGGAAUGCUUGGUGGUCGAAAGGUAACGCCUUUGGAUGGGUCUGCGGCGGAUUAGGUUGACGCCGGUGUAACGUACCGGCGUGCCUGUAAUCCGUACGGGUUGUGGGAGCAAGAGCCCGGAGAUGGAUUCUGAGACACGAAUCCAGGCCCUACGGGGCGCAGCAGGCGCGAAAACUCUACAAUGCAGGCAACUGCGAUAGGGGGACAUCGAGUGGCAUCCACCUUGGGUGCCUGUCCAACCGUCUAAAAAACGGUUGUUAGCAAGGGCCGGGUAAGACCGGUGCCAGCCGCCGCGGUAAUACCGGCGGCUCGAGUGGUGGCCGAUAUUAUUGAGUCUAAAGGGUCCGUAGCCGGCUUUGCAAGUCCCCUGGGAAAUCCAGCGGCUUAACCGUUGGGCUUUCAUGGGAUACUACAUUGCUUGGGACUGGGAGAGGUAGGAGGUACUCGGGGGGUAGGGGUGAAAUCCUGUAAUCCUCCGGGGACCACCGGUGGCGAAGGCGUCCUACCAGAACAGGUCCGACGGUGAGGGACGAAAGCUAGGGGCACGAACCGGAUUAGAUACCCGGGUAGUCCUAGCCGUAAACGAUGCCCGCUAGGUGUCACGACGGUCGUGAAUCGUCGUGGUGCCGUAGGGAAUCCGCGAAGCGGGCCACUUGGGAAGUACGGCCGCAAGGCUGAAACUUAAAGGAAUUGGCGGGGGAGCACAAUC
rnacentral:rRNA from 1 species